GACGAACGCUGGCGGCGCGCUUAAUACAUGCAAGUCGAGCGAGAACCAGAGCUUCGGCUCUGGGGACAGCGGCGAACGGGUGAGUAACACGUGAGUAAUCUGCCCUCGGCACCGGGAUAGCCCGGGGAAACCCGGAUUAAUACCGGAUGGCCUCUCGAGCUUUCGGGCUCGUGAGAAAAGGUAGCUUCGGCCUCCGGCCGAGGAGGAGCUCGCGGCGGAUUAGCUUGUUGGUGGGGUAACGGCUCACCAAGGCGACGAUCCGUAGCUGGUCUGAGAGGGCGAUCAGCCACACUGGGACUGAGACACGGCCCAGACUCCUACGGGAGGCAGCAGUAGGGAAUCUUGCGCAAUGGGCGAAAGCCUGACGCAGCGACGCCGCGUGCGGGAAGAAGGCCUUCGGGUUGUAAACCGCUUUCAGGAGGGACGAAGCCACUCGGGUUAAUAGCCCAGAGGGUGACGGUACCUCCAGAAGAAGCCCCGGCUAACUACGUGCCAGCAGCCGCCGCAGUAA
rnacentral:rRNA from 1 species